AAGAGAAAAAGUGAAAUGUCAAUUGGAAAUUGCUCUGCGCAUUGCAAGGCCAUGAAAACUGGAUGUACAUCGGCAACCGCUCGUGUUAAAAGGUGUUCUUCCUCUUUCCUGUUCCAUGGACAAAACCAUGACGAUCUGCGUGAGGUAAAUCCUUUAGCGGCAUUGGGUUCUGAAAUAUUUGGGUUACGAGUUACGACCGACAUCGAGGUGCAAAUACUCCGACAACAGACGUGUAAACCAGUAAACGAGCAAUCCACUUGGGUCAGUAAGAAAAUCAGGUGUCAUGAAAAAAAGACCGUAAAUGUUACUUGUCGCUCAAGUUCUCCAUUUUUAACCUUGAUCACCUCCAUUAUGCAAAUGGUGUAAAACACCAGAUUUAGAAACACAAAGGCGAUGCAAUUUGUCUUGCGGUUAAUGAAAUUAGAUUGUAACAGGAAGUCUUUCAAGAUUUCUAUCAGGGCCUCAAGAAUAACUCGCUGGCUUGGAAUUACCCCCACCUUUAUUCAAGAAUGUCUCAAUUUUCCGCACAAACUGCCUCCCAAUCGUUGAGCGAAUUCGUUUUGUAAGUUCGACCCGUAUGCAUGUUCAG